CAUCCUUUGCCGCUAGGGGCUGGUUUGGAGAACAGAUUUGACCCAUCUUUUUUCUUAUUUUUUUCCUUCCUGAAUUCUCUUGAUCUCCGAGCGCUUCGGAGCUUCCUACUUGUUAUUUUUCUUUGCCCUCGUGGAGUGCUGUGGUGCAGCAUGUCCUUGUGUUUCCUCUCUCUUCUUCGUUUGUGUUCUUCCUUUGUUAGCUGUGGAAGCUGCAGCGAUCCCAAAAGCUCCAUUUUUGGUUUUUUUCUUUUGUUGUUCUAUUGUGACAUUGAGGCUAUCCAGUUGCAGUUGUGCUAGCUACUGGGGAAGAGAUUGGGCAACGAUGAAGUAUCGUUAUUGGGAACUUCGGCGACAGCGGUUGCCUAGCUACGUCGAUGACAGCUGUUGGCAAGAGGCGGUUGAGAUUCUCCUUCAGCGGCGUCUUAGCAAGCUGCCGGUUUUGCGGUUUAGAUUUUAGUUGGCAGCUUAGUGAGUUAAGGGGAAUUGUAGUGUUUCUCUACUAGUGUUGUGGUUGUUGUGACCAAGGCACAACGGUUGGAUUCUUAUGAUUAAAGUUGUCGGCUACAGGCUCUAAUCUGAUCUGGUUUGGUUAUUCUAAUUCCUUGCGUCUAGCUUCUCGUGCAUUUACUUGGUUGUGGAGAUCUUCUUCGGUAUAGUGAUUCUUAAAAAAAAUCCUCUCGUUUUGGUACUGGUGACGACAGUGUCGUCGAAGCAGCGACCUGCUCCUGUUGGGGUGUCUUUUCCCUAGGAGGUGAAUUCAAGUUGAGAUGGGGUUGCUGUCGUGGUCUGGUGGUGGCGAUGGUUCCCUUUUUCAAGUGGCGAGGUUGCAACGGAGCUGAUUCUUAUCUCCUGCGGCAUUGACUCAUCUUGGCAAGGGCAUGCUGAUUCUCUUCAUUGACACUCACUAGACCGGUGGUUGGUUCACAUUGCACGAUCUAAGGCCUGCUGAACUAGCAGAUUGCCUCAUUUGAAAACUUGGGUAUUGUUCAUUGUUCUCUGAAUUGCGGUGGUGAUCGACAAUGGUGUGGUCUGCACCAAAGGAGCUUGCGAUUUUGCAAGCUUGAAGAGGCGCUGGAGGGUGUCCAGAGGAGGAGCAAAGGCUGAAGGACGGCCUCCCUGUCAGCGUUGCAGAUCGGAAAGGAUUAGAGUCCCCCUCAAAAAUAUCCGAAUUGUUAUGAGAAAGUUCAAACAUAUGUGGAAAGGAGCAAUUUAUUUACAAUUUAAAUGGAUGGUUAUUACAUAAACAACUUGGACUAGAAACAAUUGGACGUAGAUGUGAUUGGAUGAAUUAGGGUAGAGUUGAAUGAACUUAGGCUAAUGAUGGAUGAAAAUCGGCAGAUGAAUUUCGAUUAAAGGUAGAUGCAUUUUCAUUUGUGGAUGAAAAGUCAUUUGUAAAUGAAUAUUCAAUUAUAGAUGAGAAAUUGCCUUGGAUGAAAUUUA